AUGAGACGGAAGAUGACUGGGAACAUGAAAAGAGCCCUGAUGGUGUUACUGCUCAUCUCUGUGCUGAACUUCUCAACUGCUUUUCCUAUGGAGCCACUUCAGAAGACACCUCUACUGAUCCAACCAUCAGAUCCACGGCCGUCAGAAAGUGUAACACUAGGAAGCUCACAGGUGAGAAGCAUGUUUAUGAUGUUACAUAAUCAAACCUAUUUGUAUAUGGAAUAUUACAGCUGUGCUGACGUUUGUAGGAUGUGAGGGUCAGCAGUCUUGGAUUCCGUAUGAAAAGAGCCAAUUCUGCUAACACAAAGAAACCGGCUCGUUACUGUGCUGGAUGCUUUUCUGUCAUUGGAGACCCAACGAGACCAGAGAAAUGAAAUCUGCUGUAUUUCUGAAUGAAUAACCCUAAAUAUGAAUAUCUUUCAGUUUCUGUUAGAAUCUGUUUAUGCAACUAUAUUUUAGUGUACUAUUCUAGACUGUCAUGUCUUAAGAUUUUGCAUGACUUUGCACUUUUUAAAAAAAUGAAAUAUUCAAUAAAAUCUCAGUAAAAUUAGCGUAAAUUCAGGACUGUUUUUCUUUAAAAACAUCACCUAUUUGUACUAGAAAUGUCAGUUGCCUAUUGACUUUUGUUAUAGCUUUUGUGCUUUUUUCUCAUGCAUGCAGUAAAUGCGAUAUUUGAGGAUUUCCUAAACAAAGAAAUGAUAGUUCAGAACGAUAACAUGGAUUUGAAGUAACGUCUAAGUGGCUGUUUCAUAGACGUGUCAUUAUAACCACAAAGUGUUAUUAUCGUGUUAAGGAGCUUCAGUUUUGACCAUAGUCAAUUAUUCAUAUCUCCCACACUAUGAUUUAUGGCUUUGCUACCCAUGGGAGUAAAAUAGGAUAUAGGCACAUCUAGUGCAUGACACUAUAAUUAAAUGCUUAUUUAAUCUUGGCCAAACUAUAUGCAAUUCAAAAGGUUGUAUGCAAUCAUGCAAUCUUCAAUAUUUGAGCAGAUGGAAAAUGUAAACACAG
rnacentral:lncRNA from 1 species